CUAAUCUGUGUGUGCUGUAGUGACCAGCGGCUCCUAACGUGUCUGUGUGAUGACCAGUUGUCCUCCAAAAACCUCACUCACCACGGAGUCCCCCUGAGGGCCCCGGGCAGUUGCCCCGGCCGCCCAGUGACGCCCACCGGCUCCCUCCGUUCCCUCCUGUCACCUACCAGGGCAGACCCCACUAAGCCGCUGAGUCCCUUCCUGGAAGACCCUGGGGGCCGAUAGCUUUACCUAGGACUCUCCAGGGUCACUGAUCCUCCCUGGCCUAGGGCUGCCAGGACCAAGUUCCUCUCUGCAGGAUCUCACAGCAGCCCUGAGAAGACGGGGAAGGAAGAAGCCAGUGGCCCCGGCGUGGACCCUGCCCUUUGGACAUCCCAUGGACUUCUCACCCAGUCGCCUGGAAGUCGGGGAGCAGCAGCCCUGCCCCCGGCGGAGGGGUUGUUGCUUUCUGGGGAGGAGGACGGUUGACGGCCCUGCCUGGAUCCACCACCAGGACGCUGUGCUCGGCCACGGCGCGCCUCCCCCAAGGGCUCAUCCGCGCAACAACCACAUGCCAACGAUAGCUCCAGGUGCCUCAGCCCGUGCCCUGACCCAGGGACCACAGGGACACCCUCUGAGACGUGCUGGCCCUGGGAGGAUACAGGCACACGGGCACCUAGCCCCUCUCGGAGCCAGGCGUGUCUUGACGGUGUCUGCUAACAGGAACAAGUCAUUCUGAAAGGUCCCCCUGACCCAGGUCACCAAAUUUGGGCCAGAACUGGCAUUUCUCCUGAGUACCCACUGGUGCUGGCGUCCUCACAGUGCUGGGCGCCAAGUUCAGCCCCAGGCGCAUUUGCCUAAGCAGUGGUGGCUGCCAUCUCUCAGGGCCCGGGCCCUCACGUGAAGGGCUGCCUCACUCUGUGGUGUCAGGCAUUGGACUGUGUCCUGAUUCCUCAGAAUAUGGGGACCUGAUAUCUUUGGGUCCCCAAGAGUUGGCUCUUGGAUGUGGGGGCUUGAUGCCGCGGUUGGCGGCUGCAGUAUCUGGGUCCAGGGAAGCCACUGCCUCAGCAGGGACAGCCUCUCCCGCUGCAGGCCCUGGGCAGCCCACAGUAGUGCUAGCUGAGGCCCAGAGGAACAGGAGGAAAGGGAGGUAGCGCCGGACAGCGCAGCUGGCCAAGAGGCGGGCGGGGCCAGAAAUACCUCAUGCACCUGCACCAGCCCCUCCGUCUCCAGGCCCCAGGCCCCUGUGUGGACCCAUCUUCCUCCUCUGCCACCCCGAUCUUCACUCGGAUACCUCUUGAUUUCUGUGGAUUAGGGAAGCAGCCACUUCUCCCUCCCUGAGACCCGAGGACGCCCCUGGUGGGGGUGGCCUUCUCAGGCCUCCUGGGUAGCACAGCAGCAGGACCUUGUCAUAGGACUGAUGCUGAGCGGGGAGGGGGCUGCCAGGCUGGCCGCCGAUGCUCCGUUCACAUAAGCCAGUGUGGUUCUGGGGACCUGAGGAGCCCCGUGGCACCCACGGGGGACACCUAUGUCUGCCGUGGCUCCUCGGGUGGUGGCCCGUGUGACCAAAGCCAACAACAAGGGUGACUUCCGGCAGGCAGGGGCGGCAGGAGGGCAGAGGGCAGAGCUCUGGCCACUUCUGCCCACUUCAUUAGGGUUUGUGAACUUUGUCCUUCGACCUCUUUUCGUGCCCUGGUUGUGAGAUCGCCUCUGACAGAUAAUGCCAGGGGCCCUUCACUCCCCUCCCAUGACUGGGAAAAGGCCUGUGGCAGCUCUGCUGGACCCUAGGAGGCUCAGAGGCAGUGGUGUGGGAGCCCUGUCUGCAAGGACGCAGAACAAGCAGUGAGGGCGGCUGCAGGAGAGGAAGGGGCUCCCACAGCCCCCACUGACACCCCUGCAGGCCCCUCUUGAGCUGGGGUCCCAGCCAGGUGCCCCCGCAUGCCCUCCUGCAGUUGCUGGAUGGACAGGACCUCCAGGCCACCAGGAAGAGGACAAACUGCGUGGACUCAGGCGAGCUGGAGCCAUCUUCUCCAUAGCAUGACGGACUUAGCAUAAGAGUAAAUGACUGUGAACGUUGUAGUAAACGGCAGCUUCAGAUAAGCAGUGACAGGGUUAAGGACAAGUUGGUGUCUGUGGUAGGUUUUAGGCUGCUCCUAACCCACCAUGUAUUGCCUUCUGAGAGGUGGGUGAGGACAAGCGUGUGCCUGUGUGUGUGUGUGUGUGUGUGUGUGUGAGAGCACGUGUGCGUGUAAGCCCACCUGAAUGGGGCUGGUGCGGGAAAACUGAGGCGUGGAACUCUGGCUCAUACCUAGGAAUUGAGAGCUUUUCUGUCUUUUGGGAGAGUUCUUUUCUCCACCCUCUGGCCACUGUGGGAGGGAAGGACAAGGUUUCCCUUGGAAAUGUGAAGAAGGUCUUGGUCUCAUCCCUCAGGUCCCCCCCGCCACAGCACUUCCCACCACUGCUGCUGUCCCUGCCGGCAGCCUCUGUCCCUCCAGAAUGGCUAACCAGAGCACACCGUCCCCACCACCUCCCCUUUCUCUCUGGAAAGUUGAAGUGUCUUUCCAGAGGCCUUGGAAAUGGCACAAAGGUGACAAGGAGCAGGUGCUUUGCUGCGGGCUCCCUUGCAAAUGUAUAAUUAAGGCCUUUCUUCCCACCCCAAGUGCAAGAACAAAUGCCAGCCACAUCCUCCACCACUUGGAGAGAUGAGAACCCAGCGGGGUCGUGUAAAGGAAUUGGAGGUCGGUAGGAGGACAAGAGGGACUCCCGUGUUCUAAGCACCUGCUCCCGGCCAGGCUCUAGGCCAGGCUGUCUAAGCACAUUUCUCCUUUUAUUCCCCCUAAAACCAGAGUGACCUGGAAGUAGAUGUUCUUUGCUCCUUGUUAGAGUUGAAGAGGCUGAGGCUUGACCGGCUGCUAAGCGGCAGAGGCGGGGGUCGGCCCCUAGCCCCCGGGCCAGCCAUCCCGUCGCAAAGCCUGUGCUGGGGAUGCUCUUUCUGUUUCCAGUCCUGUCACGGACUUCCCAGCCGCCACUGGGCCCUGCCGGUCACCAGGCCACUGUGCAGUGGGUGCUGAGCAAAGUCAGGAGUGGCCUACCCGCACUCCUCCACCAAGAUGAGGGCCCUCCGGAGCCUACAGGUGUCUGUGGGGAAUCCCAGCCUGCAGCUUCGGAGAACUGGGUGGGCCUGAGGAUGAAGGCAAAGGAGGGCCUUGAGGAAGCAGCCUCCGGGCCUGGCAGCCACACGGCGGCUGAGCUCAUGAACUCGGUUCGCGGCCUGCCUUGUCCCCAGAGGCCACGCCAGGCACUCACCCCUGAGCCCACAGCCUCUGCUUGGGCUGCCUGGCACCCUCAGGGCGGCCCGCUCUCCUCCUGCCACUCUGAGCACAUGUCCAGGGGUUGCCACCAGUGACAGCUUUGUUUUCCCAGCCAAGGCCAUGGAGCUGCUGUGCGACUGUGUCAGGCCUGGACAAGGCCCUUAGGGAUGACGUCCCCGCUGCAUAUUUAUUCAAGGUGACUCUUGUACUUGGCAAGGGAAGUCCACUGUGUGAUUGUCUGUAUUCUUAAUAUAAUUUGUUAAAUAAACGUUUGUUUUAACCUCUUU